rnacentral:rRNA from 1 species
GUCAGAUGUGAAAUCCCCGAGCUCAACUUGGGAACUGCAUUUGAAACUGUCAAGCUAGAGUCUUGUAGAGGGGGGUAGAAUUCCAGGUGUAGCGGUGAAAUGCGUAGAGAUCUGGAGGAAUACCAGUGGCGAAGGCGGCCCCCUGGACAAAGACUGACGCUCAGGUGCGAAAGCGUGGGGAGCAAACAGGAUUAGAUACCCUGGUAGUCCACGCUGUAAACGAUGUCGAUUUGGAGGUUGUGAGCAAGACUGAUGGCUUUCGAAGCUAACGCGUUAAAUCGACCGCCCGGGGAGUACGGCCGCAAGGUUAAAACUCAAAUGAAUUGACGGGGGCCCGCACAAGCGGUGGAGCAUGUGGUUUAAUUCGAUGCAACGCGAAGAACCUUACCUACUCUUGACAUCCAGAGAGCCGAGCAGAGAUGCUUGGGUGCCUUCGGGAGCUCUGAGACAGGUGCUGCAUGGCUGUCGUCAGCUCGUGUUGUGAAAUGUUGGGUUAAGUCCCGCAACGAGCGCAACCCUUAUCCUUUGUUGCCAGCGCGUAGAGGCGGGAACUCAAAGGAGACUGCCGGUGAUAAACCGGAGGAAGGUGGGGAUGAUGUCAAGUCAUCAUGGCCCUUACGAGUAGGGCUACACACGUGCUACAAUGGCGUAUACAAAGAGAAGCAACCUCGCAAGAGCAAGCGGACCUCAUAAAGUACGUCGUAGUCCGGAUUGGAGUCUGCAACUCGACUCCAUGAAGUCGGAAUCGCUAGUAAUCGUAGAUCAGCAUGCUACGGUGAAUACGUUCCCGGGCCUUGUACACACCGCCC